rnacentral:lncRNA from 1 species
AAAGAGGGAUGCUGGGUGCCACAGGACAGGUGGGGCCCCUGCUCUGAAAGCUCUGAGCUGGGGCUGGCUGUGGAGUGAUGCUGUGCAGGACAAGUUAGCAGUGGCCUCAGUACUGCACCGGUGGGUGGGCGCUGCUGCCCCAGCUCUGCACCCCAGCAGCCUGCCCUGCUGCACGUGGAACCUCUCGGUGCAUCUGGGGGAACUUUACCUGUUAUCUCAGCGUGGGCUGCAGCAGAGCCGUUCAGCUGUUGUCCCUCCUUAGGCACACCUAGAACAGAGCAGAGCAUAAGUACGGGCUGGGAAGGCAGGAGGGCACCGGCAGCAUUCAGCCUGCGCUCCUCCAAGAAUGGGACAGCACUUCAGGAGGGAUUGGUGCCAGGCAUCUGGGUGCAGCACUGAGGGAUUCCACGUGACGCCAUCCUGGCUGGGUUAUACCUUCAGGACACACACGAGCAAGGCUCUGGCUAGCAAGCUGGUUUCUGAUGUCUAUAAUUUAUUAGCAUGAGAUCUCAUUUGUUAAAGAAUCGGCUCAGCCUGAGUAGCAUGCAGGUCACUGAGACCAAAUAAUGAGCCUAGAACGCACUUUCCUUUCACUAGAAAGAGAACAAACGAUGUCAGCUGCAUGUAAAAAAAUAGGUAUGGAUGCAUCAGAAGCAGUACAGCUGCUUUAACUACAUGAACACGCAGUGAUUGCGUGAAAAUAUGCCCCAAAUCCGACUACAACUGCAAAAAUUUGGGGGGAAAAAUACAGGACAGAGGAAAGGAGGCAGUAACACCGUCUUGCACUCCAAAGAUUCCCCUGUAAGGGUGCACACAGCCCAUACCUGCUCGGCCCCGCGUGGCGAUCUCACUCGCCAACCUCCCAAAGUACUCGGGCAGGUCUGUGUAUUCAUCUCCAUAGGAAAUCACUUUAAUCCCCUUGUCCAGCAUGUUCUCACGGAGCUUCUUGAACUCGUCCACAUCUCCUCUCCGCACGAGCAUGAAGUGCUCCAGGUCUGAUUUGUGCUUCUCAGCUUCUAGAAACAGGGCCUGAAACGUGGUGUCAUCAACAGUCCAACCACAGCCCAAGAACAGGAACGACUUAUUUUCAUACAGCUUCUGAAUCUCUCGCAUGACCUCGGUGUUGCGCAGCACGUUCUGGUAGCCGGCCGGGUGCAGCACGAUGCCGCUGGGGUUGGUGU